ACACUCCGACUCCUCAGCGCUCUUGGCGCCCCCGCUCUCCACCCGCCGCAGAUGAAGGGCCCCGAUUCGGCCUCCGCGCUGUGAAGGCAGAGAGCCGCUGCCGCCGCCUCCAGCGCUACCGCUGCAGCUCCCGCCUCCCCGCAACGGGGAGCCGCCGCUGUCGGAGCCCGAAGCACCAGAUUCCUCGUCCUCGGUGUCUUGCGAAGCGCGCUGCCGCCGCCGGUCCGCCAUCUUACGGAGAACGGCCACCACCGGCGAGGCUGGUCUUGAACCUCUGACCACAAGUGAUCUGCCCACCUCAGCCACCAAAGUGCUGGGAUCACAGGUGUGAGCCACUGCGCCCAGCCAAGUUGCUGAUUAUACUUAAGGAAGCACACUGGACAAAGAAGGAUGAAACAUACAUUCUACUUACACACAAAUGGAAGUGAGUACCUUAUAUAAAGGGGAAAAUAAUGUGUUAUUCUUUUUUAUUGUGAAAAUGGAUUUCUUUUUCCAAUGUGUCAAAUAUACAAGCAGAAUUGUUUGUUUGCCAAUAAAUAUAAUAAAUUGAAGCAGAAGUUCAAAAAUUAACAGCCACAAUAGUUUAUUUACAAUUGAACUCUUUAUAAGAUAUUUACAAGACAACCAAUUUUACACAUCAGAAAUGGUAUCAAAAGUUAUGAAUUACAACACAGACAACAAUAUGAAAUGGGCAUAAAACAAAGCUGAAGUAGACAGACAAGCAAUUUUUUUUAAUUUAUUAACACUAGCUUAAACCUUGUUAAAGAAAAACAAACAACUAUGUUUUAGGAGAACUGCAGGGCCUUAAGUUGAAGAUUGAAUUCACAGUGUUGUAUCCCAUGUAGGGAAAAAUAAGACUAAUUUUCCCCCCACACUCUAACACACUGUAAUUUUGCACUUGGAACUUUGCUAAUCUACUGUCCAACCUCCUUCUCAAAAAGUCAAAUCAAAGGAGAAUUAACCUAGAAGAGGGGACAACAAAAUAAGAGGUCCUCAGAGAGAGGGAGAACCAAGGAAACAGAAUCUACUUAAGUCUGGCCAGAUAGCACCUCGUGGAUUCUUCUCAGUCUACUUCAAGUCAGAAACUGGGGAGUCCCCUGGGUAGGGCACAAACAUAAUGGUUACAUUUGCUAACUCAUACCCAAAAUUAGGAAUCCGACACAUGCUGAAAUCAAGAAGAAACUGAGAGGGAUCAAAGAACAAAGUCAAGAGACACUGAUUGGGUCUUUUUUCUUUUUGGACACGUUAUGAAGAAAUAUAACAUAGGUAAGAGUAAGAAAACUGAACAGCCUGCCACGUUAAAAUGAUGGAUAACAAAGAAAAUCUGGCCCAGUUUUUCUAGAAAUCUCCUUCUCCUUAAGGUGUGAGAUGAGAGCCCCUAGUGGAAUUAAGUCCUAUUUCUCUCUACAUCCUUGCUGCAAUGAAGUUUACAGCAGGUUCCCUUAUAGAGAGCCCACUCUCCUAAGCAGAUGGAGUUACAAAUGAAAACCCAUAGC